UCACCUCUGUGUCUGCAGAGACUUCUGGAACGCUUCAUCCAUAGUAGGUACUCAAAACCCACUCGUUAAGCGCAUCAAUGAACAAUAGCUAACAUUCUGAGAGCACUCCGGGACUAAGCGCUUCCGCUUUCCUCCGUUAAGCCUCCCAGUCCAGACAAAGGGGCGCUACUUUCCUUUCCAUGUGACCGACGACGACGGGGAAACCGAGGUUCUGAGAGGCGGAGGCGCUCCAUCCAGCAAAGGCCUGGUUUGGAGAGCUCAGAGUUGCUAUGAGCAAUCCCUGCCCCUGCUUUCUGGAGCACAGGUGUGAGUUCCUCGAGGGGCACACCCAUCCAUCUGCCAGAUCCUACUGAAUCGAGUUCCAGCUCCUCAAGAAAGCGAUGCCAGGAGUCAGGCUGUUUAAGCUGCAAUCCCACUGGUACACUUUGGGACCCAGGACCAGCCACCCUUCUCCGGGCCCUACUCUCCUCCUUGCUCCCCUCAGACCCGCUGCCAGCGCCUCCAUCAUCUCUACCUGCCAGCCUGCCUGCCUUCAUCCGCGGAGGAGAGACACGGCUGGAGGCUGAGAGAGGCGGCUUCGCGGGGCCCGGCCGCAAGAGGCCGCGUUACCUGUGUACCCAGGUGUGGACACGCAGCCACGCGCAAGGUACACAGCAGCGUGGAGCGGAAGCCCCCACACACCUACGAAAAGACCCAGCUGCCCAGUAGGGUUUAUGCCAGGGAUGCAAACCCGUUUCAGACAAAGUAGCCAUGGGAUUCACGCCGUUAACCGAUUGACGGAACGUGGCAUGGGUGUCUCCGUAAAUGCUGAGACGGUGUACGAAACAUGCCCUCACCCAGGCUCCAGAAAAGAGAAAGGAGCUAGAUAGAAGGUGCAAAGCCAGGGCAGGGAGCGUGAGGGAAGCGGGGACUGAGGCAGGAGAGGACGAGGACGAGGCGCGGUGAGUUGUUGUCACGCGGCUCGCUGUUUCUUGGAAAAGCACAGCAAGUGAUUGGCCAACGGGGCUGCUCAGCCCCCAGGGAGCCUCCAGAUGGACAUGCCUCCGGGCAGUCUAUCAGAGGAGGAAAGAUGGGAUCCAUCAGCCCAGCUCCCUCCUCAGCUUCCGUUUCCCAUUGGCCAAAGUUCCCCUCCCGGAUUCAUUCUCCUGCAUUUCGAGUUGCCUCGUGAAAGCCAUUGGCAGCUUCUUGGGAACCCAUGCCCUAUCGUGUGGUCUUUGUCCUAAGUCCAGAAAUGGCCAGAGAAGCCAGAGACUCUGGGCUUGUAGCUGAUUGGCGUUGGGCAGCAGAAUCGCACGGGCCCACAUGGAGUCUCUUGGCCGCCAUGGUGGCUGGAGCAGAGCAAACAGCUGAAGUCUGGGAAGCAGGGGAGUCCAAGAGAAUCUGAAGGCGUCACAUACGAUUAGGCGUCACAUCUAAAAGCAUCACACACGAUUGAUCUCAACUUCCAUUUCUGAUAAAAAAAAAAAAAAAAAAACUCAUCAAGCCACAUCCUUAUCGAUGAAAUAUUAAAAAGACCCCCCUUUCAAUUCGGGACUGAGGUAAAGUUAUCCGGGGUCAUCACCGCUACCCAACCUUAGACCUCAGGUGUAGCCGUCGUAAUAAGACAA